GAUGAACGCUGGCGGCGUGCCUAAUACAUGCAAGUCGAGCGAACAGACGAGGAGCUUGCUCCUCUGACGUUAGCGGCGGACGGGUGAGUAACACGUGGAUAACCUACCUAUAAGACUGGGAUAACUUCGGGAAACCGGAGCUAAUACCGGAUAAUAUAUUGAACCGCAUGGUUCAAUAGUGAAAGACGGUUUUGCUGUCACUUAUAGAUGGAUCCGCGCCGCAUUAGCUAGUUGGUAAGGUAACGGCUUACCAAGGCAACGAUGCGUAGCCGACCUGAGAGGGGGAUCGGCCACCCGGGAACUGAACAACGGCCAAAACCCCAAGGGGAGGCAGCAGUAGGGAAUUUUCCGAAAAGGGCGAAAGCCUGACGGAGCAACGCCGGGGGGGUGAUGAAGGUCUUCGGAUGGUAAAACUUUUUUAUUAGGGAAAAAAAAAUGUGAAAGUAACUAUGCACGUUUUGACGGUACCUAAUCAGAAAGCCACGGUAAACUACGG
rnacentral:rRNA from 1 species